GCGUCUGUAGCCUAGUUGGUAAAGGCAGCACUCUAAUAUGUGUCUCAGCAUAGCUGAGGUCGUGAGUUCAACUCUCACCAGACACA
rnacentral:tRNA from 1 species